UUGUUCGAUGUGUUUACAUUACAUACAUUUUUGCAGUUAUAACGAAAGACUCCAUGCCAACCUCCGCAAUCUCUACUUCCGUUACAUCAAAAAUUCCAACCACCUCCACUUCUGAAACAACACCACUUCUUUAUAUUGCGAUAGGAGGUGCGUGUGGAGCAGUAAUUUUACUUGCUGUUGUUAUUGUAGUUAUCUGCUUGGUCCGUAAACG